rnacentral:tRNA from 1 species
CGGCCGGAGCGGCGCGCGGGGCGUGGCAGCCGGAGCCUCCGGCGCGCAGCGGGUCACCGCUCCCAUGCCGGGCCGCGUGGUUCGAGUCCUCGUCCAGGUGG